UACGAAGGGGGCUAGCGUUGUUCGGAAUUACUGGGCGUAAAGCGCACGUAGGCGGACUUGUUAGUCAGGGGUGAAAUCCCGGGGCCCAACCUCGGAAUUGCCUUUGAUACUGCAAGUCUCGAGUCCGGAAGAGGUGAGUGGAAUUCCUAGUGUAGAGGUGAAAUUCGUAGAUAUUAGGAAGAACACCAGUGGCGAAGGCGGCUCACUGGUCCGGUACUGACGCUGAGGUGCGAAAGCGUGGGGAGCAAACAGG
rnacentral:rRNA from 1 species